rnacentral:rRNA from 1 species
UGAGGAAUAUUGGUCAAUGGGCGAGAGCCUGAACCAGCCAAGUAGCGUGCAGGAUGACGGCCCUAUGGGUUGUAAACUGCUUUUAUAAGGGAAUAAAGUGGGUCACGUGUGACUUUUUGCAUGUACCUUAUGAAUAAGGACCGGCUAAUUCCGUGCCAGCAGCCGCGGUAAUACGGAAGGUCCGGGCGUUAUCCGGAUUUAUUGGGUUUAAAGGGAGCGUAGGCCGGCUGUCAAGUCAGCGGUAAAAAUUCGGGGCUCAACCCCGUAAAGCCGUUGAAACUGGCGGUCUUGAGUAGCGGCGAGGCAUGCGGAAUGCGAGGUGUAGCGGUGAAAUGCAUAGAUAUCACGCAGAACUCCGAUUGCGAAGGCAGCAUGCCAGCCGCCGACUGACGCUGAGGCACGAAAGUGCGGGUAUCGAACAGGAUUAGAUACCCUGGUAGU